rnacentral:tRNA from 1 species
UAAGAAUUAGUUAAAUGUAUAAUAUUAACUUGUCAAGUUAAAGUUAUUAAAUUAUUAUUAAUAUUCUUAG